UACGGAGGGGACUAGCGUUGUUCGGAAUUACUGGGCGUAAAGCGCACGUAGGCGGAUUUGUAAGUCAGGGGUGAAAUCCCGGGGCUCAACCUCGGAACUGCCUUUGAUACUGCAAAUCUCGAGUCCGGAAGAGGUGAGUGGAAUUCCUAGUGUAGAGGUGAAAUUCGUAGAUAUUAGGAAGAACACCAGUGGCGAAGGCGGAUCUCUGGGCCUUACCUGACGCUCAGGCGCGAAAGCUAGGGGAGCGAACAGG
rnacentral:rRNA from 1 species